rnacentral:rRNA from 1 species
UGGGGAAUUUUGGACAAUGGGCGAAAGCCUGAUCCAGCAAUGCCGCGUGUGUGAAGAAGGCCUUCGGGUUGUAAAGCACUUUUGUCCGGAAAGAAAUCCUUGGCUCUAAUACAGUCGGGGGAUGACGGUACCGGAAGAAUAAGCACCGGCUAACUACGUGCCAGCAGCCGCGGUAAUACGUAGGGUGCAAGCGUUAAUCGGAAUUACUGGGCGUAAAGCGUGCGCAGGCGGUUUGCUAAGACCGAUGUGAAAUCCCCGGGCUCAACCUGGGAACUGCAUUGGUGACUGGCAGGCUAGAGUAUGGCAGAGGGGGUAGAAUUCCACGUGUAGCAGUGAAAUGCGUAGAGAUGUGGAGGAAUACCGAUGGCGAAGGCAGCCCCCUGGGCCAAUACUGACGCUCAUGCACGAAAGCGUGGGGAGCAAACAGGAUUAGAUACCCUGGUAGUCCACGCCCUAAACGAUGUCAACUAGUUGUUGGGGAUUCAUUUCCUUAGUAACGUAGCUAACGCGUGAAGUUGACCGCCUGGGGAGUACGGUCGCAAGAUUAAAACUUAAAUGAAUUGACGGGGUCAUAGCUGUUUCCU